rnacentral:rRNA from 1 species
UACGAGGGGGGGCAAGCGUUGUUCGGAAUUAUUGGGCGUAAAGGGCGCGUAGGCGGUUGACAAGUCUGAUGUGAAAUCUCUGGGCUCAACCCAGAGUCUGCAUUAGAAACUGUCGGGCUUGAGUAUGGGAGAGGUGAGUGGAAUUUCCGGUGUAGCGGUGAAAUGCGUAGAUAUCGGAAGGAACACCUGUGGCGAAAGCGGCUCACUGGACCAUAACUGACGCUGAGGCGCGAAAGCUAGGGGAGCAAACAGG